GAUGAACGCUGGCGGCGUGCCUAAUACAUGCAAGUCGAGCGAACAGACGAGGAGCUUGCUCCUCUGACGUUAGCGGCGGACGGGUGCGUAACACGUGGAUAACCUACCUAUAAGACUGGGAUAACUUCGGGAAACCGGAGCUAAUACCGGAUAAUAUAUUGAACCGCAUGGUUCAAUAGUGAAAGACGGUUUUGCUGUCACUUAUAGAUGGAUCCGCGCCGCAUUAGCUAGUUGGUAAGGUAACGGCUUACCAAGGCAACGAUGCGUAGCCGACCUGAGAGGGUGAUCGGCCACACUGGAACUGAGACACGGUCCAGACUCCUACGGGAGGCAGCAGUAGGGAAUCUUCCGCAAAGGGCGAAAGCCUGACGGAGCAACGCCGCGUGAGUGAUGAAGGUCUUCGGAUCGUAAAACUCUGUUAUUAGGGAAGAACAAAUGUGUAAGUAACUAUGCACGUCUUGACGGUACCUAAUCAGAAAGCCACGGCUAACUACGUG
rnacentral:rRNA from 1 species